rnacentral:rRNA from 2 species
UGGACUUGCUCCUGAUUCNCGGCGGACGGGUGAGUACACGUGGGCACCUGCCUAUAAGACUGGGAUAACUUCGGGAAACCGGAGCUAAUACCGGAUACGUUCUUUUCUCGCAUGAGAGAAGAUGGAAAGACGGUUUACGCUGUCACUUAUAGAUGGGCCCGCGGCGCAUUAGCUAGUUGGUGAGGUAAUGGCUCACCAAGGCGACGAUGCGUAGCCGACCUGAGAGGGUGAUCGGCCACACUGGGACUGAGACACGGCCCAGACUCCUACGGGAGGCAGCAGUAGGGAAUCUUCCGCAAUGGACGAAAGUCUGACGGAGCAACGCCGCGUGAACGAAGAAGGCCUUCGGGUCGUAAAGUUCUGUUGUUAGGGAAGAACAAGUACCAGAGUAACUGCUGGUACCUUGACGGUACCUAACCAGAAAGCCACGGCUAACUACGUGCCAGCAGCCGCGGUAAUACGUAGGUGGCAAGCGUUGUC